rnacentral:rRNA from 1 species
UACGGAGGGUGCAAACGUUGCUCGGAAUCAUUGGGCGUAAGCGCGUGUAGGCGGCUUUGCAAGUCGGGUGUGAAAGCCCUCAGCUCAACUGAGGAAGUGCGCCCGAAACUGCAGAGCUUGAGUACCGGAGAGGGUGGCGGAAUUCCCCAAGUAGAGGUGAAAUUCGUAGAUAUUGGGAGGAACACCGGUGGCGAAGGCGGCCGAUCUGGGCAGCAACUGACGCUGAGGCGCGAGAGCGUGGGAGC